UUUCAAUUCUGUAGUUCUGGUGUCCCGCACGUGCGACAAAAGACGUUCGUACCAGCGGGAUGAAAAGGGAAUUCCGUACGUCCAAUCGCUGUAAGGACCAAUCGGAAGCUGCCCCGCAACUGUAGUCCCGAUCCUCCAGAGGAUCUGUGACACAUCAAAACGCCACUGUUUCACUUGCGUGGAAUGGGAAGGCUGGAUGUGCCCGGGAGAGCCAGGAGACCUGCCAGAACUUUGUUCCACGA
rnacentral:ncRNA from 2 species